UUGAAACUUCGGUCGAUUUAAUUUAAUUCUAGUGGCGGACGGGUGAGUAACGCGUGGGUAACCUGCCUUAUACAGGGGGAUAACAGUCAGAAAUGGCUGCUAAUACCGCAUAAGCGCACAGAGCUGCAUGGCUCAGUGUGAAAAACUCCGGUGGUAUAAGAUGGACCCGCGUUGGAUUAGCUAGUUGGUGGGGUAACGGCCCACCAAGGCGACGAUCCAUAGCCGGCCUGAGAGGGUGAACGGCCACAUUGGGACUGAGACACGGCCCAGACUCCUACGGGAGGCAGCAGUGGGGAAUAUUGCACAAUGGGGGAAACCCUGAUGCAGCGACGCCGCGUGAAGGAAGAAGUAUCUCGGUAUGUAAACUUCUAUCAGCAGGGAAGAUAGUGACGGUACCUGACUAAGAAGCCCCGGCUAACUACGUGCCAGCAGCCGCGGUAAUACGUAGGGGGCAAGCGUUAUCCGGAUUUACUGGGUGUAAAGGGAGCGUAGACGGUGUGGCAAGUCUGAUGUGAAAGGCAUGGGCUCAACCUGUGGACUGCAUUGGAAACUGUCAUACUUGAGUGCCGGAGGGGUAAGCGGAAUUCCUAGUGUAGCGGUGAAAUGCGUAGAUAUUAGGAGGAACACCAGUGGCGAAGGCGGCUUACUG
rnacentral:rRNA from 1 species